ensembl:lncRNA
GGCAUCUGGGGCAGGUGGGGCAGGUGGGGCCCUCCAGCUAGAGGGUUUCUUCCAGACCAAAGCGCAGGCAUGGGAGUGUGAGGCGGAGACUCCGUGGGCUCGGUGAGUGUCUGGGAAGAAAGCAUGUGCCGGAGCGCUGCGUGGCGGGUGUGUGCCGGCAGAUACGGUGUGCGCGAGUGGGAAAAGAGUGGAGUUACGGGUGAGGGGUGUGCGUGUGCUAGCAAGAGAGGCAAGCGGAGUGGAGUAGAGCAGCAGAGGCGCUGUUGGGUAAAAGGGAGGAGAUGUGCGACGACCAAGGAGGCUGGCCAGAGAAAAGCAGGCGUCUAAAGUGCAGAGAGGAAGAAGAGAAUAGCUAGCUUCCCUGACCGGGAAUCGAACCCGGGCCGCGGCGGUGAGAGCGCCGAAUCCUAACCACUAGACCACCAGGGAGCAUAGUCUACAACCGACGGUCCCCGCUUUCUGGUCCUGCACACAGAAACACUGCCAGCCUCUCAGCCAGUCUGACAGCCAGACUGCAGGAGGGACGGCCCGCUCGCCAGCUCGCCGGCUCGCCCGCUCGAGACCGUUGCCAGCCACCCGCCGCCUGCGUCUGCCCCUGCCCUGCCAGAUGCCAGAGGUCCGGUGCCCUGUGCCGUCUACCGCUUCGCCGGCAAGUCGGGAACCACCUCCGGGAUUAGACGCCUGCGCCUGGCAGAUCUCCUCCCCCGCCGCCAGAGCCUCCUUCUUUGGGGCGGGCGUUAGGUAACUAGGUAGGUAGGUAGGUAGGUGGGUGGUGGGUGGGUGGUGAGAGGUUCCAGGCUGGCCACCCUCGGCCCUGAACCCUGGCAAAACAUGGACAGGCUGCGUUGGCCGGGAAUCGAACCCGGGUCAACUGCUUGGAAGGCAGCUAUGCUCACCACUAUACCACCAACGCCGAACCACAAGGACGCCACGCACACCACGCCGGGGACUGCCACCAGCCAGCGGCCGCGCACCAACUAACUCCCUGCAGCGGCUCCACCGCGGCCUCAACCCCACAGCCAACGCCAGGGCCAAGGCCCAGGCCCAGGCCAAGCACAACCGGGGCUGCGCCGCUGCGCGCCCUUCUCACCGGCGCGUCCCGCCCGCGCCUCUCGCACGCACACAGCCGGCACACAGCCCGGCCGGUGGGGCGCUCUCGCCUCCAAACCGCUGCCAUCCGGCGCACCGGGACGGCCCGGGCACGCUUCGAGGGCCCCAGGGACCAGGGUAGCACCCGGGACGGCUCCGAGCCGCCAGGUCACCAUCCGGACCCGCCUGGCACAGCGCUCAGGCCACGCGAGUGGCGCGCCGCCGGCUCCGACGCCCGCCGCUUCCUCGGGAGGACGGCGCGUUCCCAGGCAUCCGUCGGAGCUCUGGGCAGGUGGCCGGCAAGGUACCCGAGGGCCCGGUGUCGGGAGGGCAUGCCUGGCAUUAGGCCGCACGAGCCCGGCUCUUGGACGCCAUCCCACGGUGGGCAGAGUGGGGCCGAGGGGUCAGCGCCCCCGGGGCCGCCCAUCUGGCAAAAAAGUGACAGCAGGUCUCCCCGUCGGGGAAUCGAACCCCGGUCUCCCGCGUGACAGGCGGGGAUACUCACCACUAUACUAACGAGGACGACGACGGCGACGGCGACGGCGACGGCGACGGCGACGGCGACGGCGACGGCGACGACCAACCCGACGCCCGUCCUUCUCCGAGACCAGCCUGGCCAGGUUCGCCAGCCUCCGUCCGAUCCAAACCCCCAAGCCUCCGCCACGCGGCCACAACGCCCCUCGCAACAGGACCCGGACCCUCACCACGGUGUGACCACCGCGGCGUCGCCGGCCCGCUGUUUCCUGCCCCUUGUCCCCUCCCGGGCUGCUGAGGGGCUGCUGAGCGGGUCAGUGGGAGCUGACACCAGGCUGCGGGCCUCGCCGAUGGCAGCGGGAGAGGCUGAGCGCGCACGAACCCUGGGCGGCCCUGCGACGGGUGGGGCGCAGGUGGCGGGAGCCCGUGCGGGACCCCGAGCCACAUCGGCUCCUACGAGCGUCGGGACGUCCACCCAGACCAGCACACGAGACCGGCUGCCCCGUCGCGCCAGGUCGGCUAUGCUCGCGCGAGCGCGUGGGCGCCUGGUGCUAGCCAGUGGAGCCGCCUGGCGGCCAGACCCUCAUCAGGAUGGCCGAGCGGUCUAAGGCGCUGCGUUCAGGUCGCAGUUUCCCCUGGAGGCGUGUGUUCGAAUCCCACUCCUGACAACUUUUUUUUUUUUUUUUUUUUGUCAGUUGGUUUUUGGGCGUGUGUGUGUUUUGUUUUGCAACCUCCACCUGGAGAGACCGCCUCUCUCGCCUCCUUCCACAACCCCUCCCGCGCCGCCUCUCGCCUGACUCCAGUCAACCUUCCCUGACACAGCACUCCUGUGCGCGCAGGAGCGCCCUCCUCUCAACACCCACCAGCUACUACUGGAGGGGGGUUCUGAUGGGGCGCCUGGUGGUCGUCUUGCUCCGCCUUGAGUCCGGGAGGGUGCGGGAAGGAGGCGGCUGGUCCUGAGCACGCUGGCAGGCGGCAAAGCCCGCCCGCCCGCC